AUUGAACGCUGGCGGCAGGCCUAACACAUGCAAGUCGAGCGGAGAUGAUGUGAGGAAGUUUUCGGAUGGAAUCACAUUAUUUUAGCGGCGGACGGGUGAGUAACGCGUGAGCGACCAACCUUGCACAGGGGGAUAACGGACAGAAAGGUUCACUAAUACCGCAUGAGAACACGGGGUUGCAUGAAGCAGGGGCCAAAGGGGCAAUCCGGUGCAAGACGGGCUCGCGUCCGAUUAGGUAGUUGGAGGGGUAACGGCCCACCAAGCCUAUGAUCGGUAGCCGACCUGAGAGGGUGAUCGGCCACAUUGGAACUGAGAUACGGUCCAAACUCCUACGGGAGGCAGCAGUGGGGAAUAUUGGGCAAUGGGGGAAACCCUGACCCAGCAACGCCGCGUGAAGGAAGAAGGUUUUCGGAUUGUAAACUUCUGUCCUUGGUGAAGAGAAGAAGACGGUAGCCAAGGAGGAAGCCCCGGCUAACUACGUGCCAGCCGCCGCGGUAA
rnacentral:rRNA from 1 species